UACGUAGGGGGCGAGCGUUGUCCGGAGUACUGGGCGUAAAGCGCACGCAGGCGGUCUGUUAAGUUUGGAGUGACAGUUGGUGGCUUAACUGCCAAAGUGCUUCGAAAACUGACAGACUUGAGGGCUUCAGAGGGACACGGAAUUCCGGGUGGGGUGGUGAAAUGCGUAGAGAUCCGGAGGAACACCAAAGGCGAAGGCAAGUGUCCUGGGGAGUACCGUGAC
rnacentral:rRNA from 1 species